UGGGGAACCUUGCACAAUGGGGGAAACCCUGAUGCAGCGACGCCGCGUGAGCGAUGAAGCCCUUCGGGGUGUAAAGCUCUUUCGGCAGGAACGAUUAUGACGGUACCUGCAGAAGAAGCUGCGGCUAACUACGUGCCAGCAGCCGCGGUAAUACGUAGGCAGCGAGCGUUGUUCGGAGUUACUGGGCGUAAAGAGUAUGUAGGCGGUUGCGUAAGUUCGGUGUGAAAUCUCCCGGCUUAACUGGGAGGGUGCGCCGAAAACUGCGUGGCUAGAGUGCGGGAGAGGAGAGCGGAAUUCCUGGUGUAGCGGUGAAAUGCGUAGAUAUCAGGAGGAACACCGGCGGUGUAGACGGCUCUCUGGACCGUUACUGACGCUGAGAUACGAAAGCGUGGGUAGCAAACA
rnacentral:rRNA from 1 species